CGAACUCUGGUAUUGAUUGGUGCUUGCAUCAUGAUUUACAUUUGAGUGAGUGGCGAACUGGUGAGUAACACGUGGGAAACCUGCCCAGAAGCGGGGGAUAACACCUGGAAACAGAUGCUAAUACCGCAUAACAACUUGGACCGCAUGGUCCGAGCUUGAAAGAUGGCUUCGGCUAUCACUUUUGGAUGGUCCCGCGGCGUAUUAGCUAGAUGGUGGGGUAACGGCUCACCAUGGCAAUGAUACGUAGCCGACCUGAGAGGGUAAUCGGCCACAUUGGGACUGAGACACGGCCCAAACUCCUACGGGAGGCAGCAGUAGGGAAUCUUCCACAAUGGACGAAAGUCUGAUGGAGCAACGCCGCGUGAGUGAAGAAGGGUUUCGGCUCGUAAAACUCUGUUGUUAAAGAAGAACAUAUCUGAGAGUAACUGUUCAGGUAUUGACGGUAUUUAACCAGAAAGCCACGGCUAACUACGUGCCAGCAGCCGCGGUAAUACGUAGGUGGCAAGCGUUGUCCGGAUUUAUUGGGCGUAAAGCGAGCGCAGGCGGUUUUUUAAGUCUGAUGUGAAAGCCUUCGGCUCAACCGAAGAAGUGCAUCGGAAACUGGGAAACUUGAGUGCAGAAGAGGACAGUGGAACUCCAUGUGUAGCGGUGAAAUGCGUAGAUAUAUGGAAGAACACCAGUGGCGAACGCGGCUGUCUGGUCUGUAACUGACGCUGAGGCUCGAAAGUAUGGGUAG
rnacentral:rRNA from 2 species